rnacentral:rRNA from 1 species
CCCUUAGAUGUUCUGGGCUGCACGCGCGCUACACUGAUGCACUCAACGAGUUUACGACCUUGCCCGAUAGGGUUGGGUAAUCUUUUUAAAAUGCAUCGUGAUGGGGAUAGAUUAUUGCAAUUAUUAAUCUUCAACGAGGAAUUCCUAGUAAGCGCGAGUCAUCAGCUCGUGCUGAUUACGUCCCUGCCCUUUGUACACACCGCCCGUCGCUCCUACCGAUUGAGUGCUCAGGUGAAUAAUUCGGACUGCAGCAAUGUUUGGAUCCCGAACGUUGCAGCGGAAAGUUUAGUGAACCUGAUCACUUAGAGGAAGGAGAAGUCGUAACA